CUCAUAAGUUAAGCUAACACUUAAGGGCGGCAGCUUGGAAAACGUUACGUUUUAUUUGUCCUUUUUAAUGUAUCAGACUCCGUCUGGCAUUAACGUUAAGUUAGCUAACGUAACCUUAAUAAAAACGUUUUUACGUUAUCCUUCAGUGUGAAUCAUGCGUUCAUCGUAACAUUUCAUACCGAGAACCAGAUUCAUCACGAAUGAAUCAUGAGUGACCCAGACAGGAGACUCCACUGAGGUCUGGACAGAUUGGACCAUUUCGACAACUUCUCCGGUGUUGUGUCUCUACAUCAUGUUUCUCUGUACGGCUUCUGCCUCUGACUUCUGUCCGGACCGGACGUGGAACCAUGUCUGUGGGUGUUUGAUGGACCGGCUCUGUCUGGACCGGACGUGGAACCACGUCUGUGGGUGUUUGAUGGACCGGCUCUGUCUGGACCGGACGUGGAACCAUGUCUGUGGGUGUUUGAUGGACCGGCUCUGUCUGGACUAAACGUGGAACCACGUCUGUGGGUGUUUGAUGGACCGGCUCUGUCUGGACUAAACAUGGAACCACGUCUGUGGGUGUUUGAUGGACCGGCUCUGUCUGGACUAAACAUGGAACCAUGUCUGUCGGUGUUUGAUGGACCACAGGUUCUGCUGAUGUGCAGGCAGAGUGGGGAGAAAGCUUCAGCCUCUCGCUGACCGGCUGAGAUCUGUUAAUAAUAGAUGGGUUGUUCUGCCCUGGGGUUUCCUUACUCAGACAAUCUAAGUCUGAGUUGCUGCCGUUAUUCUGGUAGAGUAACCUGAGAUUUCUGAAGCUUCUGUCUCUGAGUUCUGUCUCGACUGGAGGUGGAACCAUCUCUGUCGGUGAUUCAUGGACCACAGGUUCUGCUUGGUCAACCCUGGGUGAACUGGCACUAUCAUGUCCCAGUGCAUAUCUGAUGAGACGACCAGCUGCUGUCGUGACCCAAGGAACCACAACCAGACCCAACAUUAAGAUCGGCAUGUCGGCAGAAAUUGGUUGUUUAAUUAAUGUUUGCUGUUAAUUUUUUUCCCUAUAUUCAAAUAUUUUCUUCACAAAGGUGAGAAAUAAGUUUGUUAUGUUGAUUCUUGAGUGGAUCUUUCUGUGUAGCUCGGAGAGGAGUCUGCGCUGAAAUGAGCUCCAGCGGGCUUUCAAUGCCUUUAUAUAGGCCUAUAUGAUGCAAUUGUCUUUUGAUGGCACAGAUCAAAGGACAAUUACAUCAUAGGUUUUACCAGUAAAUGACAGCAGGUGUGUUUCAGUCAUUUAGUUUUAAAAAAUGCUAAAGGUGCGAAAUGUUGUGAAUGACUAGUAAGGUUUGAUACUUUAUUUAUCAUUCUAUUAAAACAAAAAUAAAGUUUGUUGCCCCUUCAUUCUACAUGUACAGAACUUAACAUAUAAUAAUUAAAUGUGUAUUAAAAUAUUGUAACAUAUAAAAUAAAACAACAUUUAAAAAUAAAACAAUCUAGUUAUUUAGCCAUGGCUGCACGUAUCCACCCCAAACAUUCCGCUGUGCAUUUUUUAAAUUUUGCGUCGGGGUUGAAUGUAAACAGCAGCCACGAGACAUUAAGAUGGUUUCAUCUUAACAUUAAAAAGUAUGAAAUGUGGAAAAAACAUGCCACCCAAUGUGAAGGUGUUGCUGAAAAGUUGAGUGAGAAAAUAUUACAGGCUUUUCUGUUGUGCUGUUGUUACUUAUACCUGCAGACCGCAGUGAGGAGCAGGAGUGGAUUGUAGCCUGUAAGCUGCAAAUGAGUAAAAUAAAGGUUUUUGGCAACUUUUCACAUUCCUUUUUUUAACUUAUCUAGUCUGUUUGAAGCAUUUUGCUUCAUUAACCAAAAUGCGCUGUCUUCCAGGCUGUGUGCGCGCAGUUACGCAGGAGAGCUCUGGUCUCCUUUGUUUUACAAAGAGACGGGCAAUUGUCACAGAUAUGAACGAGCUGGGCAGAUGCAAACAUAUCUUUUCAGUUUAAGACUUUAUUGUUCUGCUAAUACAACUGAAACCAAAAGAAGUUACUACAGGAACGUGUGGUAUAGUACCACAGGAACAUGAGGUACAAAUACCACAGAAAUUUUAUGGUAUUUUACCACAGGAAAGAUAGCAGGUCUGUUCCUGUGUUAGGAGGGAGGCACGUGUCUCCUUUAGGUAGAGAGGGAUCGUGAUCUAGUAAGUUCCUGUACUUGUGCUUCACGGACGGAAGCUGCGUGAGGCCGCACACCCUUCUACGGCGACACGCCAAUCCAACCGGGGUGUCCGCAGCCAGGGCCAGAAGCUGAACGGAGUGUGUCUGUGGCGCUUCAUGAUCUACGGGAGAUUCCAUGUCCGCUCCCCACAGGGGGGGUCUUGUCGUCAGGCCCGGGGCAGAAGUUUUAAGUUUAUACAUUUCUGAUGCAUGUUGUCUUGUCAAGCGUUUUGUGUCUUAGUCUUAUUAUAAGUUAUCUUAAAUAGGUUUUAGUAAAUUGACUCCCGUUAGAGAUGUCCCUUUGUAAAGCAGGCAACCCCUUGCUGGUGGUAAAGGGUGCCCUCUGCUAUUGGUAGAAGUGGUUCUGACCAGCUUGUGGUCCAACAGCAGAACCAGCGCUCGGACCGGGUCAGGCAGUGAGUCUUCAUCCUUGACAUUACCGAAACCAGAAAACCCUGUGAGGUUUAUAACAACGUGAGUUUCUGUGAUCUUCUGAGGGCCGAUAAACUCGAUGCCCUCAUCGUUCACAUGAGCAACUGACACGAACUCACAUCCACCUGUGGAGCGGAUCUCACAGUGUGGGAGAUGAAGCUGACACACAGUCUGCUGCAGACAUCUGAUGUCAAACAGGCUGCUUGUGGUGUCGGGCCAGUAGCCUCCUGUUCCAGGGGACAAUCCUGUAAACCACGUCCCCUUCUCCCUCCAGCAGGCCUGUCACACUGCACUGGUACAGGCCUGGGCAGGAGCACUGGAAUCUGUAGGUUUCAUCGUUUUCAUCAACAGUGAUAUCAGGGGUGAACUCGUCACAGCUGGAUUUGAACAGCAUGUCAGACCAGGAAAAUGCACGAUCGUUGAGGAACAAAAGCAGGAGGUCUCAUCACCGGAAGACUGGAACUGACCAUAAAGUGGAACAGAGAGAUCCUAUGAUUCUGAUCCAGCAACCAGUGAUUCAACACAGGAUAAACAUGAAAGAACAGGAGAACCAAGCAGGCAAUCAAGACUAGCCCCUGCUGAGAUGAGUGACACAGAUUACACCUGUCAAUCCACGAACAGGCUUGGAUCUGAAGACGAUUGUUUAAUUCCUGCGUCAAAUCAAGAUGCGGACCAGUUGUUCAGUAAAGAGUCGGAUUCCCAUCUUGCCCUUGCCAUCCAUGCAUCUCUUGAAGAUUUUGGAGUUCAGUUUGGACCCAUCUCUGGUCAUGAUGCUGAUGAUCAAGACUCCACUCUUCCCUGGAAUCCGCAUGACCUCAAAACAAUGCAGGAUCAGGGAGAUUCCCCGAAGCAGCCGACGCUGAAAGCCAUGCAGUCUGCAGGAGCCUUUAGUUAGCCUAGCUAUGAGAAUAAAUAAACGGAGUGCUUUCUCUCUUUUUCUCUCUCUCACACAUGCACACAUAGACAGAGGCACCCGUGCUGCCGCUGUCUCUCCCACAUCAGAUCCUCCCUCACUUAGCAGAACUUCUUGGGCAUUUAUCGUUAUUUUGUUAUGAGCGUGAGCUACUCUCUCCCAAAGCCACAAACCAGAGAAGACUCAAACUGUGAUGUUAUCAGGUGAAAAAUCUGGAGCCGCUUGUUAAUAGACAAUGAAUGUGAAACUAAUUUUG